GGACGAACGCUGGCGGCGUGCUUAACACAUGCAAGUCGAGCGGUAAGGCCCUUUCGGGGGUACACGAGCGGCGAACGGGUGAGUAACACGUGGGUGACCUGCCCUCAGCUCUGGGAUAAGCCUGGGAAACCGGGUCUAAUACCGGAUAUGACUCCAUGACGCAUGUUGUGGGGUGGAAAGCCUUGUGCGGCUGAGGAUGGGCCCGCGGCCUAUCAGCUUGUUGGUGGGGUGAUGGCCUACCAAGGCGACGACGGGUAGCCGGCCUGAGAGGGCGACCGGCCACACUGGGACUGAGACACGGCCCAGACUCCUACGGGAGGCAGCAGUGGGGAAUCUUGCGCAAUGGGCGAAAGCCUGACGCAGCGACGCCGCGUGAGGGAUGACGGCC
rnacentral:rRNA from 1 species